UUCUCUCUCGAAUUGUCCAGGAAGGGAAAAAUUUAUACAUCCCCAUGAUUUCAGGAAUGAGUGGGGGCUCCACUGCAUUUUUUUCCCUUCCCGGACAGAAAACAACAAGAGACUGCAAGCCGUCCACCUCCUCUCUCUCUCUCUCUCUCUCUCUCUCUCUCUCUAAGCGCUCUUCGUGGCCUCCCACGCCCCUCCCUCUCCCGCUCCAGAUCCGGUCUGCGACGCCGCCGGCCGAUGGCCGAGGAAGCCGCCGCGGGGUCCCGCCGAUGGCGCAGCUGCGACCCCGGCGGCGAGGAGCACCGGCUCUCGGCCGCCGCGGGGGAGGACCGCUUCGACGGCCUCCCGGACCCGCUCCUGCUCGUCAUCUUCAACCGCAUCGGCGACGUCAAGGCGCUCGGCCGCUGCUCCCUCGUCUCCCGCCGCUUCCACGCGCUCGUGCCGCUCGUCGACUCCGUGCUCGUCCGCGUCGACUGCGUCAUCCCCGACGACGCCUCCUCCGCCGGCGCCGCCGCCGCCGCCGGCGACUUCUCCCUCUCCGCGCCUUCCUCCCCCACGGCCUCCGCCCGCGCGCGCAACGUCGUCUCCCAGAUCGCGCGCAUGGUCAUCGGCGGCAUCGUCAAGCCCAUCCAGGCGCUCGGCCAGAUCCUCUCCCACGGCAACUCCGACUCCGACUUCCCGGCAUCCUCCUCCUCUGCCUCCCGCCGCUUCGCCUCACUGUCGCCCUCGUCGCCGCCGUCUGGCGAUGUGUCGCACCACUCGCCCUCGGAGGUGCUGCGUUCCUUCAAAGAGCUCCGCCGCCUGCGCAUCGAGCUCCCGGCCUGCGAGCACGGCAUGGACGACGGCGUGCUGCUCAAGUGGAAGGCUGACUUCGGGUCCACGCUCGGCAGCUGUGUCAUCCUAGGCGCGGCAUCCGCCUCACCGUCCUCUGCUGGCAAGGACGGUGCAGGCACAGCAGCUGCUGCUGCCGCUGCUGCUGACUGUGGCGAAUCUGACGAGUCAGGGAGUAUCCCGGAGUCGUUCUACACAAAUGGGGGGCUGAAGCUGCGGGUCGUGUGGACGAUCAGCUCGCUGAUUGCGGCGUCUGCCCGGCAUUACCUGCUGCAACCCAUCAUUUCAGACCACAAGACGUUGGAGAGCCUGGACCUGACAGACGCCGAUGGGCAGGGUGUGCUCACCAUGGACAAGUGGCAACUGCAGGAGCUGCGGGUCAGGCCGGUAUCUGCAUCUGAUGGCUCACACCGCACGCUCAUGCCGGCGCUUAGCAUGCGGCUGUGGUACGCACCACACAUUGAGCUGCCUGGGGGGACGGUCCUGAAUGGAGCAACACUGGUGGCCAUCAAGCCGAGUGAGGAUGCAAUGCGGGACUCAGUUGGGAGUGGAGCUGCUGGGUCAGCAGGUGGAUCCUGGGUUUCAGAUGCAUUUGAGGAGCCAUAUCGGACAGCCGUGAGGAUGCUUCUCAAAAGGAGGAUGUAUAGCCUUGAGAUGAACUCAUUCUAAGCUAUGGAGAGAGUGCCAUUUCGGAAGUUUCAUCUGUGAGAGAGGUAUAUGUUUUUGUCGGGAUUGCUCCUUUCAGUUGCAUACUCAGAGUCUCACACACCAAUAUCUGCCCCAACCCGUCCUUUUCAGCUGUUUUACGCAUCCUGAUAAGAGAUGAUGUUAUUGUAUUCUCAUGAGUUACACUCGGCGCACUAUGUAACUUAAGAAAGGAGUAGAAGUUCUCUGGCUGCCUAUUUUUGUUCCAGCCUGCGCCUACCUCAGACAAAACGCAAUUAGUGAUUAAUGUAUGAACGUGAAGUGAUGAUGCCGUGGACUCGUUGCUGAUGUUGGAACUGCUGCACAAGUCAUUGUUGAGCUUGCUGGCAGUCCCUCAAGGCCCCCUAUCUGAAUUACAUGUGGCAGCAUGGAUAACUUGCUUGUACAAUUUCCUUAUUCACACCAAGCUGCUAACGCUAUGUUAAUUUCCGCUUUUGGAUUGUGCCUCUUUUUGGUUGCUUCUUGCCUGAGUUCGCAGAAGCUGCACGAAUGUUGUAAUUCAAGAACGAGUGCUAGUGUAGUAUAACGCUGUGAAUCUAAAUGCUGAACCAAUUUUAUGUGGACGCCGCUGAGAACGCUGCUGCGUGCGUUCCUUGCGGUCGGGUCCGAUUGUAUUUGCCUGGACUGACUUUCUUCUGCUGU